AAUAAGAACUGAAGAAUGCUUUCCCUGUUCCGAUUCGUCGGUCCGUGAAGUAGUAUCGCGGCGACGAGCAGUUUAAAGUCAGGGAAAAGACGAUGUCAAUUUCCGGUGGUGAUGAAAGAGAAGAAUAGUGCUUAGUUUAGAGAGAUAGGAAUGGUAAAGUAAAAAAGAAAAUUAAGGGUUAGUGAUUCGCCACGACAGUUGAGUGAACAGUUUAAAUUUUUACUUAAUCUUUAUUUUUUGCCCGUUACUCCCGGUAAAUAAGGAGGGCAAAACGGCAAUAUUUUAUAAAAGGUGAGUCA
rnacentral:lncRNA from 1 species